UACGUAGGUGGCAAGCGUUGUCCGGAUUUACUGGGCGUAAAGAGCGCGCAGGCGGUCGAAUAAGUCGAAUGUGAAAGCCCCCGGCUUAACUGGGGAGGGUCAUUCGAUACUGCUCGACUUGAAGGCAGGAGAGGGUAGUGGAAUUCCCGGUGUAGUGGUGAAAUGCGUAGAUAUCGGGAGGAACACCAGUGGCGAAGGCGACUACCUGGCCUGUUCUUGACGCUGAGGCGCGAAAGCGGGGGGAGCAAACGGG
rnacentral:rRNA from 1 species